GUCAGCUCCCCUUCACCUUCUGCCACGAGUGGAAGCAGCCUGAGGCCCUCCCCACAAGUAGAUGAUGCUGUCAUACUUCUUGUGCAACCUGUAGAACCAUGAGAUGGCCAUAAAGUAAUGUGUUACCCAUCUCUGGAAGCAUUCAAGAGACCACAAGAGCAUCUGUCAAGGAAGAAAAUGCUGUUGGCAGAAGAUGCUGCUUUGAAACAGGAAGUACAUUCAAUCAGAUCGUACGUUCAUCCUCUGCAUAGCAUCUACUCUAAAGGAGGAUGUCACCACUUUGAGUAAGAGGAGGUCUCUUGACAACAUUCAUAGACCAACCCAAAAUCCAAGUGCAAAUAAUGCAGGAAUAAAAAGAGAAAAUGACAUCAACUAAUUUGUACUUGACUUCAUCAUAACGUGGCUGUCUGGUUUUGCACAUGGAUACUACAAAGACUAAUGACAACUCACUUUUAGCAGCCAAGAUCAUCAACAAAGAAUCUCAAUGUUAACAUUCAUCUGUUUCAAAAAGAGUAUUGCAUGUACAAACACCAACAAUUUUUAAGUCUGAUAGUGGGUGCCACGGUUUGGUUUCCAAAAGCAGACGGGGACAUAACUGCAAGUGAAUGAGAAAGUGAGAGGAGGUGAAUGAGGAAGUGAAAGAGUAAAGGAAACGUUGUCAGUAAAGGGUGAUUAUUCAGCCACCUUGCACAAGGACAAAAGGAAAUUAGUUCCAUGGAGAAACUUUAGGAGAGUGGAUGAAAACAAAUACUUUGAAACUAUCCCAUCCAAGGGGCGAGGAACUGGGGUAUUCAUAUACGUAGUCCAGAGAGUAUAUGGUUGAAUGUAUGGUUAACUGAGGAGCGUUAAUUACCUGGAUUUCUGGCCUGUGACUCACGCUUCUAGGAAGAUAAAUCUUCUGUGAGUCUGAGAAAAUAAGUCCUCAUGCACAAAGAUGCAGACUCUGGCUGAUGGAUGUCAG
rnacentral:lncRNA from 1 species